AUUGAACGCUGGCGGCAGGCCUAACACAUGCAAGUCGAGCGGAUGAAGGGAGCUUGCUCCUGGAUUCAGCGGCGGACGGGUGAGUAAUGCCUAGGAAUCUGCCUGGUAGUGGGGGAUAACGUCCGGAAACGGGCGCUAAUACCGCAUACGUCCUGAGGGAGAAAGUGGGGGAUCUUCGGACCUCACGCUAUCAGAUGAGCCUAGGUCGGAUUAGCUAGUUGGUGGGGUAAAGGCCUACCAAGGCGACGAUCGGUAACUGGUCUGAGAGGAUGAUCAGUCACACUGGAACUGAGACACGGUCCAGACUCCUACGGUAGGCAGCAGUGGGGAAUAUUGGACAAUGGGCGAAAGCCUGAUCCAGCCAUGCCGCGUGUGUGAAGAAGGUCUUCGGAUUGUAAAGCACUUUAAGUUGGGAGGAAGGGCAGUAAGUUAAUACCUUGCUGUUUUGACGUUACCAACAGAAUAAGCACCGGCUAACUUCGUG
rnacentral:rRNA from 1 species